GCUCACGAGUAAAAAAUACUCACUCACCUUACUCAUUUGCGAGUAAUGCUCACGCUGUGAGUUACUCGCGUAUGAGUAUACUCACGCGUGAGUAAUGACUAAGUUAUUUUUGUUGGUUUGAAAUGAUGUUUUCGUUUGUUCUGUACUGCAAUGGUGAUUAUUUAUAUACAAGGCACAGUUUUCGAGGAAAGGUGGAUCUGCUCGAGAGCUUUGGCACCAUAGGCUAAAAACUCUUAUUGUUUACCUACGCAUGCAAAGUAAUAUCAUCAAUUAGGAAAUCUCUAUAUUUCACCACACUUUGUCAAUGGUAUAACUUUUUUCGCAUACGUCGGGUCACUUUACGGUAUUCAAUAAAGAUGUUUGGCAUAUAUUUACCUACCUUCAAAUUAAAAAUGGUAGGGUCAAUUACAGCAUCUCCUAGGUCCAAACAUUUAAAACUUUUCUUUUCUGCAUACAUUUGAUCGUUUUUUCCCAUGUGGCUAGUUUCUAUUACUGUGCAAAAAUAUAGGGCAUAUAAUGGACAAAUAGUGGUUUCGCUUCAAAA